rnacentral:rRNA from 1 species
UACGUAGGGGGCGAGCGUUGUCCGGAUUCAUUGGGCGUAAAGCGCACGUAGGCGGUCUGUUAUGUCGGAUGUGAAAGCCCUUGGCUCAACUGAGGAAGUGCAUCCGAAACUGGCAGGCUAGAGUACUAAAGAGGAUCGCGGAAUUCCCGGUGUAGAGGUGAAAUUCGUAGAUAUCGGGAGGAACACCGGUGGCGAAGGCGGCGAUCUGGGUAGAUACUGACGCUGAGGUGCGGAAAGCGUGGGGAGCAAACAGGG